rnacentral:rRNA from 1 species
UGGGGAAUAUUGCACAAUGGGCGCAAGCCUGAUGCAGCAACGCCGCGUGAACGAUGAAGGCCUUCGGAUCGUAAAGUUCUGUUGCAGGGGAAGAUAAUGACGGUACCCUGUGAGGAAGCCCCGGCUAACUACGUGCCAGCAGCCGCGGUAAUACGUAGGGGGCUAGCGUUAUCCGGAUUUACUGGGCGUAAAGGGUGCGUAGGUGGUCUUUCAAGUCGGUGGUUAAAGGCUACGGCUCAACCGUAGUUAGCCUCCGAAACUGGAAGACUUGAGUGCAGGAGAGGAAAGUGGAAUUCCCAGUGUAGCGGUGAAAUGCGUAGAUAUUGGGAGGAACACCAGUAGCGAAGGCGGCUUUCUGGACUGCAACUGACACUGAGGCACGAAAGCGUGGGUAGCAAACAGG